rnacentral:rRNA from 1 species
AGCAGCCGCGGUAAUUCCAGCUCCAAUAGCGUAUAUUAAAGUUGUUGCAGUUAAAAAGCUCGUAGUUGAAUUUCGGGGUUAGUAGGUUGGUCAUGCCUCUGGUAUGUACUGGUCUCACUGAUUCCUCCUUCCUGAUGAACUGUAAUGCCAUUAAUUUGGUGUUGCAGGGAAUCUGGACUGUUACUUUGAAAAAAUUAGAGUGUUUAAAGCAGGCUAACGCCUGAAUACAUUAGCAUGGAAUAAUGAAAUAGGACGUUCGAUCCUAUUUUGUUGGUUUCUAGGAUUGACGUAAUGAUUAAUAGGGAUAGUUGGGGGCAUUAGUAUUCAAUUGUCAGAGGUGAAAUUCUUGGAUUUAUUGAAGACUAACUACUGCGAAAGCAUUUGCCAAGGAUGUUUUCAUUAAUCAAGAACGAAAGUUAGGGGAGUCGAAGACGAUCAGAUACCGUCGUA